rnacentral:lncRNA from 1 species
GGGAGCAGUCUCAGCCCUGGCAGAUCAUAUCCAUGUUAAGGUUUGAUCAACAUGGACUUAGACCAGCACGAAAGGAAUGUGAGAUAGGGUUACGGUUUCUUUUCCAGAACAGUCACACUGCACAGCUCCCCAUGUGCACCAUUUAUAGAAGGACCAAGGGCUGCAGCUUGUCCUGCAGUCCUAACAGAGAUCAAGCUGUUACAAGGCAUAUUUCUAAGAAGCUGAGAUUAACAUCUGUCCAUAAUGAAGACAGUCUGGAUAAAAUCUCUUCAGAAGUGAUUAAGGGAAAAUGCAGAAUUUACUUUCACUGAGAAAAGGAAGAGAAGAUUCAGAACUUUAUCUUUUCAGAUAUUUUUGCCGUAACUUUCAGACUAAGAGUACUCGAGACUGGAGCUUACUGCAUCUCAUAAAUACAGUCUCACUUUGAAGUAAGCCCAAGUGAAAUGUUCUUCUUUUCCUUGAAUAUCAAAGGUAAUCCUAUAUCUAGGAAUACAGCUACUUGUUUCCCUUUGAAGCAAAUGCCACAGUAAUU